rnacentral:rRNA from 1 species
AUUGAACGCUGGCGGCAUGCCCUACACAUGCAAGUCGAACGGCAGCACGGGAGCAAUCCUGGUGGCGAGUGGCGAACGGGUGAGUAAUAUAUCGGAACGUGCCCAGUCGUGGGGGAUAACGCAGCGAAAGCUGUGCUAAUACCGCAUACGAUCUAAGGAUGAAAGCGGGGGAUCGCAAGACCUCGCGCGAUUGGAGCGGCCGAUAUCAGAUUAGCUAGUUGGUGGGGUAAAGGCCCACCAAGGCGACGAUCUGUAGCUGGUCUGAGAGGACGACCAGCCACACUGGAACUGAGACACGGUCCAGACUCCUACGGGAGGCAGCAGUGGGGAAUUUUGGACAAUGGGCGCAAGCCUGAUCCAGCAAUGCCGCGUGCAGGAUGAAGGCCUUCGGGUUGUAAACUGCUUUUGUACGGAACGAAACAGCCCUUUCUAAUACAGGGGGCUAAUGACGGUACCGUAAGAAUAAGCACCGGCUAACUACGUGCCAGCCGCCGCAGUAAGAC